GAUGAAGAACGUAGCGAAAUGCGAUACUUGGUGUGAAUUGCAGAAUCCCGUGAACCAUCGAGUCUUUGAACGCAAGUUGCGCCCGAAGCCAUUAGGCCGAGGACACGCCUGCCUGGGCGUCACACGUCGUUGCCCCCCCCAUCUACUCCUUCGGGAUUGCGGGGGGCGGAUGAUGGCCUCCCGUGCGCCUCGCCGCGCGGUUGGCAUAAAUGCCAAGUCCUCGGCGACGCACGCCACGACAAUCGGUGGUUGCGAAACCUCGGUUGCCCGUCGUGUGCGGUCGUCGCGCAUCGAGGGCUCGAAAAAAUUGCCGAGUUCCGGCUCGGCUUUCAACGCGACCCCAGGUCAGGCGGGGUUACCCGCUGAAUUUAAGCAUAUCAAUAAGCGGAGGA
rnacentral:misc_RNA from 1 species